AACUUUCAACAACGGAUCUCUUGGUUCUGGCAUCGAUGAAGAACGCAGCGAAAUGCGAUACGUAAUGUGAAUUGCAGAAUUCCGUGAAUCAUCGAAUCUUUGAACGCACAUUGCGCCCGCCAGCAUUCUGGCGGGCAUGCCUGUUCGAGCGUCAUUU
rnacentral:rRNA from 2 species